rnacentral:lncRNA from 1 species
GGACAUCGAUGAAGACUAGAUAAGUGCAGGAAAAAAAGUAUGAAACUUCAAAAUAAAGAAAAAGAAGAAAUGAAAAAAAAUUAUGAGAAGUAUAAAGAAGCACUUAUUUAGAAGUAUUGAGGUUGAGAAAAAGCAUGCUCAAAAGAGCACAUAAAAAAGAAGAGAAAAAUAAGAGCCAAUGAAUCCUAACCAGAAUGGUGCCCCAAAAGAAAAGCCUCUUGAUUGAAAGAUUGAACACAAUUACAAGGGCG